rnacentral:rRNA from 1 species
CCGACGGUGAGAGAUGAAAGCUGGGGGAGCAAACCGGAUUAGAUACCCGGGUAGUCCCAGCUGUAAACGAUGCGCGUUAGGUGUGUCAGUGACCACGUGUCACUGAUGUGCCGAAGGGAAACCGUGAAACGCGCCGCCUGGGGAGUACGGUCGCAAGGCUGAAGCUUAAAGGAAUUGGCGGGGGAGCACCACAACGGGUGGAGCCUGCGGUUUAAUCGGACUCAACGCCGGAAAUCUCACCGGAUAA